UACGUAGGGUGCGAGCGUUUGUCCGGAAUUACUGGGCGUAAAGAGUUCGUAGGCGGUUUGUCGCGUCGUUCGUGAAAACUUGGGGCUCAACCCUGAGCCUGCUUCCGAUACGGGCAGACUAGAGGUAUGCAGGGGAGAAUGGAAUUCCUGGUGUAGCGGUGAAAUGCGCAGAUAUCAGGAGGAACACCAGUGGCGAAGGCGGUUCUCUGGGCAUUACCUGACGCUGAGGAGCGAAAGUGUGGGGAGCGAACAGG
rnacentral:rRNA from 1 species